rnacentral:rRNA from 1 species
UAGGGAAUCUUCCGCAAUGGACGAAAGUCUGACGGAGCAACGCCGCGUGAGUGAAGAAGGAUUUCGGUUCGUAAAACUCUGUUGUUAGGGAAGAAAAAAUGUAUAGUAACUAUAUACAAAAGAGACGGUACCUAACCAGAAAGCCACGGCUAACUACGUGCCAGCAGCCGCGGUAAUACGUAGGUGGCAAGCGUUGUCCGGAAUUAUUGGGCGUAAAGCGCGCGCAGGUGGUUUAGAAAGUCUGAUGUGAAAGCCCACGGCUCAACCGUGGAGGGUCAUUGGAAACUAAUAAACUGGAGUGCAGUAGAGAAAAGUGGAAUUCCUAGUGUAGCGGUGAAAUGCGUAGAGAUUAGGAGGAACACCGGUGGCGAAAGCGGCUUUUUGGCCUGCAACUGACACUGAGGCGCGAAAGCGUGGGGAGCAAACAGG